AGAGUUUGAUCCUGGCUCAGGAUGAACGCUGGCGGCGUGCUUAACACAUGCAAGUCGAACGAUUGAAGCUGGAGCUUGCUCCGGCCGAUUUAGUGGCGGACGGGUGAGUAACGCGUGGGUAACCUGCCUCAUACAGGGGGAUAGCAGUUGGAAACGACUGGUAAAACCGCAUAAGCGCACGGUGUCGCAUGACACAGUGUGAAAACACUCCGGUGGUAUGAGAUGGACCCGCGUCUGAUUAGCUAGUUGGUGAGGUAACGGCCCACCAAGGCGACGAUCAGUAGCCGGCCUGAGAGGGUGAACGGCCACAUUGGGACUGAGACACGGCCCAAACUCCUACGGGAGGCAGCAGUGGGGAAUAUUGCACAAUGGGGGAAACCCUGAUGCAGCGACGCCGCGUGAGUGAUGAAGUAUUUCGGUAUGUAAAGCUCUAUCAGCAGGGAAGAUAAUGACGGUACCUGACUAAGAAGCACCGGCUAAAUACGUGCCAGCAGCCGCGGUAAUACGUAUGGUGCAAGCGUUAUCCGGAUUUACUGGGUGUAAAGGGUGCGUAGGUGGCAAGGCAAGUCUGAAGUGAAAAUCCGGGGCUCAACCCCGGAACUGCUUUGGAAACUGUUUAGCUGGAGUACAGGAGAGGUAAGUGGAAUUCCUAGUGUAGCGGUGAAAUGCGUAGAUAUUAGGAGGAACACCAGUGGCGAAGGCGACUUACUGGACUGCUACUGACACUGAGGCACGAAAGCGUGGGGAGCAAACAGGAUUAGAUACCCUGGUAGUCCACGCCGCAAACGAUGAUUACUAGGUGUUGGAGGAUUGACCCCUUCAGUGCCGCAGUUAACACAAUAAGUAAUCCACCUGGGGAGUACGACCGCAAGGUUGAAACUCAAAGGAAUUGACGGGGGCCCGCACAAGCAGUGGAGUAUGUGGUUUAUUUCGACGCAACGCGAAGAACCUUACCAAGUCUUGACAUCCCUUGACGAACAUAGAAAUAUGUUUUCUCUUCGGAGCAAGGAGACAGGUGGUGCAUGGUUGUCGUCAGCUCGUGUCGUGAGAUGUUGGGUUAAGUCCCGCAACGAGCGCAACCCUUACUGUCAGUUACUACGCAAGAGGACUCUGGCAGGACUGCCGUUGACAAAACGGAGGAAGGUGGGGAUGACGUCAAAUCAUCAUGCCCUUUAUGACUUGGGCUACACACGUACUACAAUGGCGUUAAACAAAGAGAAGCAAGACCGCGAGGUGGAGCAAAACUCAGAAGCAACGUCCCAGUUCGGACUGCAGGCUGCAACUCGCCUGCACGAAGUCGGAAUUGCUAGUAAUCGUGGAUCAGCAUGCCACGGUGAAUACGUUCCCGGGCCUUGUACACACCGCCCGUCACACCAUGAGAGCCGGGGGGACCCGAAGUCGGUAGUCUAGCCGCAAGGAGGACGCCGCCGAAGGUAAAACUGGUGAUUGGGGUGAAGUCGUAACAAGGUA
rnacentral:rRNA from 1 species